rnacentral:rRNA from 1 species
GACGAACGCUGGCGGUGUGCUUAACACAUGCAAGUCGAACGGUAAGGCCCUUUCGGGGGUACACGAGUGGCGAACGGGUGAGUAACACGUGAGUAACCUGCCCUCAUCUCUGGGAUAACAGUCGGAAACGGUUGCUAAUACUGGAUAUGAGCUUGCAAGGCAUCUUGUGGGUUGGAAAGAUUUUUUUUGGUUGGGGAUGGACUCGCGGCUUAUCAGCUUGUUGGUGAGGUAGUGGCUCACCAAGGCUUCGACGGGUAGCCGGCCUGAGAGGGCGACCGGCCACAUUGGGACUGAGAUACGGCCCAAACUCCUACGGGAGGCAGCGGUGGGGAAUAUUGCACAAUGGACGGAAGUCUGAUGCAGCAACGCCGCGUGCGGGAUGACGGCCUUCGGGUUGUAAACCGCUUUCAAUUGUGACGAAGCUUUUUUGUGACGGUAGCAGUAGAAGAAGCACCGGCUAACUACGU